GUCUUUCGUCCACUCUUCUCUCAGCGGGCGCUCCACGGCCCUGCUCUGGGCUCGCCUGAGUGCUGGGCUCUGCAGACGCAGGGAUGGGCCAGGCGAGCCCCUCACCACGGAGGUAGCAGGUCCAGAGGAAGCAGCAGAGGCUUCCUGGAGGAGGUGACAGGCGGAUCAGAGGCUGAGGGAUGUCUAGGAGUGAGCCUGGGCGGGAGGGGAAAUGAUGUUACAGGACGAACAGGCCUGUGCAGUGUGCGCGUGGGGCGGGGGAGGGAGGGAUAGGGGUGAGAUCCCAAGAUGUGGAUGAGCAGGGAGAAGCUGGGGGCGCAGGGCUGGACCCCUGCACCUGUCAUGGGCUCCGGCUGGGAUAUUAUAAAUCCCUGUGGCUGGUUUGGUUUCCGUGCCAUGUGCAUCUGUGCAUGUUGCACGCUCAUGUGAUCAUGGGGACGUGAGGCAGGUGGAUUGGGCCUGGUGCACAGACUAUUCAUCGUCGUUAAGUACGCUCCAGGCCCCUAGUCAGAGGGGCAACCAGGGGGGGCCCGCAGGGAAGACAAGGAAUCCUCGCUGUGAUGGAGAAAGACGAGGUCUGUGGGGCGGGCCGGGCGGGGGGGAAGGGGAGGGCACGGAAGGGAUGCCAUCCCUGCCGCUAGGGGCCGCGCACCUAGGCCCGCGCUGUCCGCCCCUGCUGUCUUCUGCAGGAAGGAGAAGGCACCUCUUCCUCUGGAGGGCUGCAGCCCGCCUCACCCACACUGGGGAGAAUGGGUGCGGAGAGCGAGCUGGGAUUCGAUUUCAGCCUCAGACUUGUGAGCCGGGUCCAACCCACACAACCUUCUUUAGAGAAUGAGAUUCCAGGGCAUUGGCCACUCAAAACAACCGGCCUGCAGGUGCCAAGAGCCAGUGUUAGGUCCACCCUCCCUCCCCUCUUGCCCCUUCACCUCCCUCGCGGAUGGGCAGGUGCUGUUAGCCCUUGGCCUGGAAACCACCCUGUCUCCUCAGCAGCCUCCUGAGCCGUAGUCCCCCAAAGGGCAGCCCAGCGGCAAUAUCUGUGGCCACCCCACCAGAAAGGGACUUAGAUCCCCAGAGAGCCCGGCACGGUGCUCCUGCCAUCAUCACCCCUCCUGUCCCUUGUUCAUUCAGUCAUUCAGCAAGCAUUUCAGGCCCUGUUCUGUGCCAACCCUGUGCUGGGCCUGCGGGUACCAAGGUGAAUCAGGCAUGGUGCCAGCCCCGGAGAGGUCCCUGACCUGUGGGGAGACAGACCAUUAGCACACAGACAACGAAAUGCAGGCGUCCUUUCACCUAUAUGUGCCAAACGCCCUUCAAGGCUCAAGGAUACAGUGGAAACAGAUAAGGUUCCUCCCUGCUCUCCUGCAGUUAUGUCUUAGUUGGAAGAGAUACACACAAAAGCAGGAAAACAAAAGAUUAUUUCAGGUCAUCAUAACUUCUAUGGAAAAAACAAAACAGACCCAGGUGAGAGCAAUGGGGGUAACUGUAGAGGUGAUCAGGCAAGGCCUCACAGAGGAGGUGACAUUUCACUGAAUGGCAAGAUGGAUCCUGACCCAUGAAGAUCAGGCGGAAGGGCAUUCUUGGCAAAGGGAAUGGCAAUCAAGGUGGGCCGGGGCCUGAUGACAGGGAAGGAGUGGGUGCCUCAGGUGAGGCUGGAGGGAGUUGGCAAGGCCCUGAUCACCAGGGCUUUGUAGGCCACAGCUGGGAGUUUGGAUUCUGUGUCAAGCACAAUGGUGCCUGGGACUGUGGGAUAAAGAUAGAAGCCCGUCUUGCUGCCCAAACUGACCUAUCCAACUCAGUCCCUCCUCCUCCUCCACUCUGUGGUCUUAGGAAAGUCAAUCCUAUCUCCCAGUCUCACUUUCUUAUCUGGGAAAUGGAAGAGAUAAGGAAUUUCUGAGGUUCAUUCCAACUGUAAGAUUAGUAUGUGGGCCGAAGUCUAGAGGCAGCAGAUGAAGAAAAGAAAAGAAAGGAAAAGAGGCCGGGCGUGGUGGCUCGCACCUGUAAUCCCAGCACUUUGGGAGGCCGAGGCGGGCGGAUCAUGAGGUCAGGAGAUUGAGACCAUCCUGGCUAACACGGUGAAACCCUGUCUCUACUAAAAUACAAAAAAUUAGCCGGGCAUGGUGUCGGGCACCUGUAGUCCCAGCUACUCAGGAAGCUGAGGCAAGAGAAUGGCGUGAACCCGGGAGGCGGAGGUUGCAGUGAGCCGAGAUCGCGCCACUGCACUCCAGCCUGGGCCACAGGACCAGACUCUGUCUCAAAAAAAAAAAAAGAAAGAAAGAAAAAGAAAGAAAGGAAGGAAGGAAGGAAGGAAGGAAGGAAGGAAAAAAGAGAGAAAUGGAGAGCAUGGGCCUGUGGGUGAGACUGCCUGGGUCUGAGUCUGUUCCUUCCCUUUCUAGUUAUGUGAACUUGGGCAACUCAAUCUCUGUGGCUCUAAAUGUGAAAAAUGAGAAAGGUGAUAGUACUCACCUCACAGCAUUGUGGUGAGGAUAUGAGAUGAGAUUGUGUACGCACAGCAUACAGUAUAUAGUAGCUGCAUGAGAAAUGUUAGUUAUUGUUACUAUUAUUCAAACAUAAUUCCCUGUUCACAAAACCCUGAUGGCUUUCCAAUACCCAGAAUCAAGACUGAGCCCAGGCAUCCCCCGACCUCCCCAAGGGAGAAGGAUGCCAGUUGCCAAAGUGGGCAAAUCCUUGUCUCUCAACAGUCCCCUCAGCAGAGGUCCUUCUGGCUCCUCUCAGCCUCCACCCACUUUGGGCCACUUCCCCGGGCUCCUGCAGUCCCUGGGCUUCCCUUUGCCGCAGCCCUGACCACCCUGUGUUGCCACAGUCUGCUUAUGCAACUGUCUCCCUCGUCACUCUGUGAGCUGCUGGAGGACAGGAGCCCGCUCUCCUGCAUUCCUGGAUUCUUGGCACAGGGCACAUUUGACCAAUGCUUGUUUCUGCCUUUAUUGAAGGAUUUGUACCCCUAGGAGGACUAUGUCUUCCUCAUCUUUGUCUUCAGAGGAUAAAUACAAGGCCUGACACAUAACAAGCAUGAGAUUAAUUUACCCGAGGUCAACCACGGUCCAAAGAUAUUAAAUGGAAAAUUCCAGAAAUAAACAAUGUGUAAGUUUUCAGUUGCAUGCUAUUCUGAGUAGCAGGAUGAAAUCUCGUGCUGUCCGGCUUCGUCCCACCUGGGAUGUGAAUCAUCCCUUUGUCCAGUGGAUCCGCGCUAUAGACACUACUCUCCCAUCAGUCACUCAGCAGCUGCUUCAGUUCCCAGAUCAACUGUCGCAGGAUCGCAGUGCUUCUGUUCAAGUAAUCCUUAUUUUACUUCAUUAUGGGCUCCAAAGCACAAGAGGAGUGUUGCUGGUGAUUCCGAUAUGCCAAAGGAAAGCUGUAAAGUACUUCCUUUAAGUAGAAAGGUGAAAGUACUUGACUUAAUAAGAAAAUUUAAAAAACAAAAUUGUAUGCUGUGGUUGCUAAGAUCUACAGUAAGAAUGAUUCUAUUCAUGAAAUCGUGAAGAAGGAAAGAAAUUUGUGCUAGUUUUGCUGUUGCAACUCAAGCUGCAAAAGUUACAACACCUGUGUGUGAUGAGUGCUUAGUAAUGAUGGAAAAGCCAUUAAAUUUGUGGGUGCAAGACACGGACAGAAACGUUCUGAUUGACGGCAAUCAGGUUCCAUUGGGGGUAUUGGAACACAUCCCUGAGGAUAAUGGGGGACUACUGUAUUCUACCAACUUAUUCCUCUUGAAGAAUUCCCUUUCGGAUUUCUGACUGCUGAGUCCUGGACUGGUUGAUGGCAAGGCCAGCUGCCCUGGUUGUCACCUGGAGACUGUGCUGCACUUUUCUCCUGGGUCGAACCCCUCAAUUCCUAGAUCCCACGUCUUCCCCUUCUGGGUUCACUACCUUAUUUGGGGGAACAUAUACCCAUAGCUUUCUUUUUGUUUUAUUUUUUGUUUACCUAUUUAUUUAUCUUAUUUUAUUUUUUGAGACGGAGUCUCCCUCUGUUGCCCAGUCUGGAGUGCAGUGGUGUGACCUCGUCUCACUGCAGCCUCCACCCCCCAGGUUCAAGCAAUUCUCCUGCUUCAGCCUCCCAAGUAGCUGGGACUACAGGUACGUGCCACCAUGUCUGGCUAAUUUUUGUAUUUCUAGUAGAGAUGGGGUUUCUCCAUGUUGGCCAGGCUAGUCUCAAAUUCCUGACCUCAGGUGAUCCAACCGCCUUGGCCUCCCAAAGUGCUGGGAUUGCAGGCAUAAGCCACUGCGCCUGGCCCCAUGUAUACCUAUACUUUUCUAAAAGGAUGUGUUUGGGGUGAAAUCUUAAGACCUUGCCUUUCUAAAAGUGCCUCACAUUUAAUCAGAUAGUUUGACCAGGUAUAAAUUUCUAAACUGGAAAUAUUUUUCCCUCUGAAUUUUGAAGGCUUGCUCCAUUGUCUUCCAGUUUCUGCUGAAAAGUCUGAGGCCAUUCUGUUUCCUAAUCUUUUCUAGAGACUCUGUUCUCUCUUUCUGGAAGCUGUGUCCUCAGUGGGUCUUUUCUUUUAAGAGAAGGGAUCCCAUCGCCACCGAGGCUGGAGUUCAGUGGCACAAUCAUCGCUCACUGCAGCCUUGACCUCCUGGGCUCAAGGAUCCUCCUGCCCCAGCCUCCUGAGUAGUUAGGACUACAGGCUCAUACCACCAUGCCUGCUCAGCCUUAGUGUGUCUUGAAGUGAAUCGAUUUCCAUUCACUGUGCUGGGUACCCAGUGAGUCCUCACGGACAAACUAAUCAUCUUCAUUUUGGAGAAAAUUUAAAAGAAGUACCUCUAUAAUGAUUUUAUUUUUUCUUUCAGGAACUCCUUAAUUAUUCAAAUACUGGCCCUCCUGGAGCAGUUCUCUAUAUUUCUUAUAUCCUUUUUCCACCUAUUUUUCAUCCCAUUUUGCUCUUCAUUCUGGAAAUGUUCUUCAACUCUUCAACAGUUUUUUGUUGUUUUUCAAAAAUUUAUCUUAUCAUAUUUCCAAAAGCCUUUUGUUUGUUCUUUGACUAUUCCUUUUUUUAGAGUAUCUCGUUCUUUUCUCACGGAUGCAAUAUUUUCUCUUAUUUCUUUGAGGAUGUUAGUAAUGUUUUGUUGUUGUUUCUGUUGAAGUGUUUCUCACCAUGCCUAAUCUCUUCUUUGUCCAAGUUAAUUUUUUUUUCUGAUUGUUGAAAAGACAAGCCACAUACUGGGAGAAUAUAUUACAGCACAAAUAACGCACAAAGCAUUACUAUCCGGAAUACAUAAGUAAUUCUUACAAAUUGGUAAGAAGACAACUCAAUUAAAAAAGAGCAAAAGAUAUGAAUGAGCAUUUCACAGCAGAAAAAUAUGAAUGAAAAAUAAACCACAAGAAAAGAUUCUCAGCCUUAUAGAAAUCAGGAAAAUGUAAAUUAAGACCACAGGAAGAUUUUCCAUGGAAAAGAAGUCCCAUAGUGGCAAGUAUUGGAGAGGCAGGAAUCAACAGGGAUCCUUAUAUGCUCCUAAUGCAGUGUAAAUUGCUGCAACCACUUUAGAAUAUUGCGAUUUCAUUACUAAGUGUAAACCCUGGAGAUACACUUGCAUGCAAGCACCCAGAGACAGGUGCAAGGAUAUUCAUAGCAGUGCUGUUUAUUAUGGUAAAAACAUGGAAACCACCCUAAUGUCCUUAACAGUAAAAUUAAUUAAUUGUGGCAUCACCAUAUAAUGAAAUCCUAUACAGCAGUGGCAAUGAGUCUAACAUAGCUGUGGCUGGAUACAGAAGGAAUCAUAGAAUUAUAAUGCGGAGUGAGAAAAGCCUGUUGCAGAAGACUACAUACAACAGGAUUUGACACUUGUAAGGCUCCAAAACAAAGAAAAUUAAAUGAUAUUGUUUAGGUUUUCAUACAUAGGUGAUAAAAGUGUGUUUCUUUGUUUUUAAUGAGAAAAUUAGUCACAGAAUUUAAGAUCUUAGUUACUUCUAUAGGGAAGGCAGGGGAAUGGGACAAGGAGGAAGCCCACAGCAUUGGUCAUGCUCUCAUGUUGAAGUUGGGUUCAAAGGUGUUCAUUAUUAAAAUGCUUCAUAAUGAUGACCAUACAUUUGGUAUUUCUAGGACAAUCUUGGUUUACAUCUAUUGUCUCAACAUAAUUAUUCAGUGCAAGCCUUUCCUUUCUCAGAAAGGUCCUAAUGUAGAUAAUAAAUUAUUUUGGCCAACU
rnacentral:lncRNA from 1 species